CCCUUCGGGAAAAACCAAAACAAAAAAAAAACUAACCUGUUCCUGUCAUGUCAUGUCAUUCGUUUCUUUUCCACUUCCAGUUUAUAUUGUAAUGGUUAUUUGUUUUAUUAAAUAAUUUAUUCAUCGAGUUUUGUGAAACUUGUGGGGCCGGGCGGAUUAAAAUAUGGAACCUCAAACUAGUCGCAAAGACUACUUAAACCACCAGUAUUCUGGCCCCCGGAAAAAUCGAAAACGAAGCCAAGCACAAAUGAAACGUUAUCAUGGAGAAAUAAAAAGCCGUAGCGACGUAUGGUGCAAGAAAAAAAAACUAAAUGACGAAAACGACGUGCCUUCAAACAAAUCUGUAGCAAAUAAUACUCUCAAAACCUACAGUGGAAGUAAAAAAAAAAAUCUUGUGGAAGCAAAUUUUACUGACACUCAGCAAAGAACUGAGAAAGAGCCCCCCCGAUCAAAACCUUUGGAGGUAAAUUGGCCACUGAUUGAUCCCACUGUUAAAAGCCACGAGUUAACUGUGGAAUAUGCACCAGAUAGUUUGGGUAGUCUGUCUGGUAACAGGUUUGUUGAUCUACCACAUGUCCUUAUGUGGGCUUUCAAACUUGAGAGACACCGUUCGCAAUGUGGUGGUAGCAGCAUAGUCUUUGUUGAGGAGUUUAGAAAUGGUUUCAACAGUAUGUUUACUUUCCAAUGCAGUAUGUGUGAGAAACAAUUUAGAUACUGCAAUGAAAAAGAUGAAAAUCUUAACAAAGCGUUUGUUUGGGGGACAUUAACAGCUGGAAGCUAUUAUGCACAGGCUGCACACAUCACCAACUUGAUGUAUAUACCUACAAUAUCAGCUUCCAAAUUCCGAGAGACAGAAAAAUUAUUAGGUGAAGUUUGGAAAGAUGAACUAACUUAGGAGAUCCAAAAAAAUGGAGAAAGAGAAAAGGCUAUUGCUAUGCAAAAAAAUAAUGUAGAUGCAAAUGGUAUUCCAUACAUAACAGUGUAUGUGGAUGGAGGCUGGCCUAAACGAUCAUAUGGUCAUGAUUAUAGCUCUCCAUCAGGCAUGGCCUGCAUUAUUGGAAAAGAGACCAAGAAAUGCUUAUUCUUAGGCAUAAAAAACAAAUAUUGUUACCACUGUCACAUUUAUGAAAAAAAAAAGAAGAACAAGUUUCGGAGCAUAUGUGUUUCAAGAACUACGAAGGACCAUCUACGGGAAUGGAGGCGGACAUCCUAGUAGAAGGGUUUGAGAGGAGUCAAAAGAUGCAUGGUGUAAAAU